GGUGACUGCGUACCUUUUGUAUAAUGGGUCAGCGACUUAUAUUUUGUAGCGAGGUUAACUGAAUAAGGGAGCCGAAGGGAAACCGAGUCUUAACUGGGCGAAGAGUUGCAAGGUAUAGACCCGAAACCCGGUGAUCUAGCCAUGGGCAGGUUGAAGGUUGGGUAACACUAACUGGAGGACCGAACCGACUAAUGUUGAAAAAUUAGCGGAUGACUUGUGGCUGGGGGUGAAAGGCCAAUCAAACCGGGAGAUAGCUGGUUCUCCCCGAAAUCUAUUUAGGUAGAGCCUUGAGGUGACACCUUUGGGGGUAGAGCACUGUUUCGGCUAGGGGGCCAUCCCGGCUUACCAACCCGAUGCAAACUACGAAUACCAAAGAGUGAUACUCAGGAGACACACGGCGGGUGCUAACGUCCGUCGUGGAGAGGGAAACAACCCAGACCGCCAGCUAAGGUCCCCAAGUCUAUAUUAAGUGGGAAACGAAGUGGGAAGGCUUAGACAGCUAGGAUGUUGGCUUAGAAGCAGCCAUCAUUUAAAGAAAGCGUAAUAGCUCACUAGUCGAGUCGGCCUGCGCGGAAGAUGUAACGGGGCUGAAAUAUAGCACCGAAGCUGCGGCAUCAGGCGUAUCACUAAUACGCCUUACGAUUAACAAGCUAGAAUGGCGCGAAGCGACAUGAAAGGUUGUUCAAGCAACCCGAACGUUGAGUCGGGUAUCUUAGAGUGAGGAUGAUUAGUGAUACGCCUGUUGGGUAGGGGAGCGUUGUGUAAGCGGAAGAAGGUUCAUCGAGAGGUGGGCUGGACGUAUCACAAGUGCGAAUGCUGACAUAAGUAACGAUAAAACGGGUGAAAAACCCGUUCGCCGGAAGACCAAGGGUUCCUGUCCAACGUUAAUCGGGGCAGGGUGAGUCGGCUCCUAAGGCGAGGCUGAAAAGCGUAGUCGAUGGGAAACAGGUUAAUAUUCCUGUACUUGGUAAAGCUGCGAUGUGGGGACGGAGUAGGUUAGGUUAUCGCACUGUUGGAUAUGUGCGUUUAAGUUGGUAGGUGGGAAGUUUAGGCAAAUCCGGACUUCCUUAACACAGAGAGAUGAUGACGAGGCUCUACGGAGCUGAAGUAACUGAUACCACACUUCCAGGAAAAGCCACUAAGCGAAAGGCUUUACUAAACCGUACUGAAAACCGACACAGGUGGUCAGGUAGAGAAUACUCAGGCGCUUGAGAGAACUCGGGUGAAGGAACUAGGCAAAAUAGCACCGUAACUUCGGGAGAAGGUGCGCCGGCGUAGAUUGUAGUCCCUAGCGGGCGAAGGUUGAACCGGUCGAAGAUACCAGCUGGCUGCAACUGUUUAUUAAAAACACAGCACUCUGCAAACACGAAAGUGGACGUAUAGGGUGUGAUGCCUGCCCGGUGCUGGAAGGUUAAUUGAUGGUGUCAUCGCAAGAGAAGCACCUGAUCGAAGCCCCAGUAAACGGCGGCCGUAACUAUAACGGUCCUAAGGUAGCGAAAUUCCUUGUCGGGUAAGUUCCGACCUGCACGAAUGGCAUAAUGAUGGCCAGGCUGUCUCCACCCGAGACUCAGUGAAAUUGAAAUCGCCGUGAAGAUGCGGUGUACCCGCGGCUAGACGGAAAGACCCCGUGAACCUUUACUAUAGCUUGACACUGAACAUUGAAUUUUGAUGUGUAGGAUAGGUGGGAGACUUAGAAGUAGUCACGCCAGUGAUUAUGGAGUCAUCCUUGAAAUACCACCCUUUAACGUUUGAUGUUCUAACGAAGAUGACGAAACGUGGUCUCGGACAGUGUCUGGUGGGUAGUUUGACUGGGGCGGUCUCCUCCCAAAGCGUAACGGAGGAGCACGAAGGUUUGCUAAUGACGGUCGGACAUCGUCAGGUUAGUGCAAUGGUAUAAGCAAGCUUAACUGCGAGACAGACAAGUCGAGCAGGUACGAAAGUAGGUCAUAGUGAUCCGGUGGUUCUGAAUGGAAGGGCCAUCGCUCAACGGAUAAAAGGUACUCCGGGGAUAACAGGCUGAUACCGCCCAAGAGUUCAUAUCGACGGCGGUGUUUGGCACCUCGAUGUCGGCUCAUCACAUCCUGGGGCUGAAGUAGGUCCCAAGGGUAUGGCUGUUCGCCAUUUAAAGUGGUACGCGAGCUGGGUUUAGAACGUCGUGAGACAGUUCGGUCCCUAUCUGCCGUGGGCG
rnacentral:rRNA from 1 species